CUAGUCUACGGGCAGGGCUGUGCGAACUCUGUCCAGGACUGGCUGGCCAAUAACAUCAUCAGCAUUGUGGGCAUCUGCCUGGGCAUUGCCCUGUUGGAGCUCUGUCUCAUGAUGUUAUCGAUGUUUCUGUUUAGAAACAUGGGCCAGAACUACGACAAGCUGACCCGAUACUCCUAGGAAGCCCCUCCUGCCCUAGGGGGUGGAGGGAGAGUGGAUGGGUAUGAGCCACUGCCCUCCAGCUGGGACCAUCCAUCCAGCCUGGGCUGAAGCAGCUUUCUUUCCCGAUCUGAGUGUUCUUGGCAUGGGGCAGGGCCCCUAGUCUAUUCCCCCAACCUUGAUGUGCCCCUCCCCCCUUGCCUGGUCCCUGACCUGAGCUGCGCUCACGCUUGGGGCAGUGGCAUAGGGAAAGGGGUGCUGUCUCUUUCUUCCUCUGGGGAUAUAUUGGUGGGGUUUGCUGCAGUAGGGAGGGGAGAUGCAGGGUGGUGGGAGUGGGGAGAGGACCUGGUAGCUGGGGAUGGGAGGGAAGUUGGGAUAUGUGACUUUUUCUAUGUUGUUUUCCCCUGCGGAGAGGAUGGUGGAGACCAAGUGGGGAGAAGGGAGCAAAUCGGUCCUUUCCACUACCUGCCACUGCAGGGGAAGCAAUCCCCCUCCUGAGCAGGGGUCCCAGAUUUGACAAGCUAGGAGGAUGUUUUCCUCCUAUGUGAGCUGACCCCACCCCCGCGUUUCCCUGCCCCAAGAAUUUGCAACUUUUGUUAAAUCCACUUUGUAAAUAAAAUAAAAAACUGGGGUCCAAACCUGAAAAA